AACGAACGCUGGCGGCAUGCCUAACACAUGCAAGUCGAACGAGACCUUCGGGUCUAGUGGCGCACGGGUGCGUAACGCGUGGGAACCUGCCCUUAGGUUCGGAAUAACUCCCCGAAAGGGGUGCUAAUACCGGAUAAUGUCUUCGGACCAAAGAUUUAUCGCCUUUGGAUGGGCCCGCGUUGGAUUAGCUAGUUGGUAGGGUAAAAGCCUACCAAGGCGACGAUCAAUAGCUGGUCUGAGAGGAUGAUCAGCCACACUGGGACUGAGACACGGCCCAGACUCCUACGGGAGGCAGCAGUGGGGAAUAUUGGACAAUGGGCGAAAGCCUGAUCCAGCAAUGCCGCGUGAGUGAUGAAGGCCUUAGGGUUGUAAAGCUCUUUUACCCGGGAUGAUAAUGACAGUACCGGGAGAAUAAGCUCCGGCUAACUCCGUG
rnacentral:rRNA from 1 species